ACGAAGGGGGCUAGCGUUGUUCGGAAUUACUGGGCGUAAAGCGCACGUAGGCGGAUACUUAAGUCAGGGGUGAAAUCCCGGGGCUCAACCCCGGAACUGCCUUUGAUACUGGGUAUCUCGAGUCCGGAAGAGGUGAGUGGAAUUCCGAGUGUAGAGGUGAAAUUCGUAGAUAUUCGGAGGAACACCAGUGGCGAAGGCGGCUCACUGGUCCGGUACUGACGCUGAGGUGCGAAAGCGUGGGGAGCAAACAGGA
rnacentral:rRNA from 1 species